rnacentral:rRNA from 1 species
CCUACGGGCGGCAGCAGUCGAGAAUCAUUCACAAUGGGGGAAACCCUGAUGGUGCGACGCCGCGUGGGGGAAUGAAGGUCUUCGGAUUGUAAACCCCUGUCAUGUGGGAGCAAAUUAAAAAGAUAGUACCACAAGAGGAAGAGACGGCUAACUCUGUGCCAGCAGCCGCGGUAAUACAGAGGUCUCAAGCGUUGUUCGGAAUCACUGGGCGUAAAGCGUGCGUAGGCUGUUUCGUAAGUCGUGUGUGAAAGGCGCGGGCUCAACCCGCGGACGGCACAUGAUACUGCGAGACUAGAGUAAGGGAGAGGGAACCGGAAUUCUCGGUGUAGCAGUGAAAUGCGUAGAUAUCGAGAGGAACACUCGUGGCGAAGGCGGGUUCCUGGACAUUAACUGACGCUGAGGCACGAAGGCCAGGGGAGCGAAAGGGAUUAGAUACCCCAGUAGUC